ensembl:lncRNA
CUUCAUCAAAUGUCUCAGCAUGAAAGAGUUAUUUUCAAUGACUAACUUCUUGGCUAAAGUGAAGAAGUGCUUUACUAUUGGUGAAGUGUUGAUCCCACCUGCUACUAAGGAUACUUGUCAUGAACUUUUACAAGAGGUUGUGGUUCAAAAGGUGGCACAUGUUCUUUGUUUCAUUAGCACAAAAACUAGACAAACUGAUGAAAUAGCAGAAGAUACUGAGGCACAACAGAGCGGAUUAAUGAGUCACUGUGGUACGCAAUACAGGUUGGUGAGUCUCUACUAAAACAAGGAUUUUGUGUAGAGACAGCAAUCAAAAUGAGAUUACAGAGAAGACUGGACACAAGCAACACACUUCAGGUGACACUGUCUCCCAUUACCCCCAUAUGGGACUGUCUAGCAGCAGGAAAACAAGCUUAAGGCUCCCAGUGAUUCUGCAUGACGAAACAAAUGUUGUAUGAUUUUCAGUACAGCAGUACAGCGAAGGAACAAAGUCUACCUUUGGGAUGGGAAGAGCAAUGACAAAGAAGAACAGAAUGUCAUAACAUCAGGACUCAGUGGAACAUGGACUCCUGGUGAGGGGGAUGGCACAGGAAGAAAGUGACUGUAUUUGCUGUCCUCACACUUUCUUCUUGCAUCUUCAAUUAGAAUGGAAUCUUGGUGGGAGAGGCCACUUCUGAGGAGCAGUAUGGGUAGGGGGAAGCUCAGCAUCUUCCUCCAUUUUCUUCCCUCCCUCCCCAUCUCCUGGACUUCUAGAAAAACUGCAUCAGAAGGUUGACUUCCAAGACUUGAACUCUGGUAUUGCUGGCUGUACUCUCGGAUGGAUUCUAGAACACCUACUGUACCUAGUACAGAGAACUGCAGUAUUUGCAUUGUUACAGCGUAUGAG